UACGAAGGGGGCUAGCGUUGCUCGGAAUCAUUGGGCGUAAAGAGCGUGUAGGCGGCCCCUUAAGUCCUGCGUGAAAUCCUGCGGCUCAACCGCAGACGGUCGUGGGAAACUGGAGGGCUAGAGUGCGGGAGAGGAGAGUGGAAUUCCCGGUGUAGCGGUGAAAUGCGCAGAUAUCGGGAAGAACACCCGUGGCGAAGGCGGCUCUCUGGAACGCAACUGACGCUGAGACGCGAAAAGCUAGGGGAGCAAACAGG
rnacentral:rRNA from 1 species